AGUGAACGCUGGCGGCGUGCCUAAUACAUGCAAGUCGAACGGGGAUUAAGUAGCUUGCUAUUUAAUCUUAGUGGCGCACUGGUGAGUAAUAUAUAGCUAACUUGCCCAUUACUAAGGUACAACAUUUUGAAACGACUUCUAAUACCUUAUACUCCGUAUCUAUAUAAGUAGAUACGGGAAAGUUUUUCGGUAAUGGAUAGGUCUAUAUCGUAUCAGCUAGUUGGUAAGGUAAUGGCUUACCAAGGCUAUGACGCGUAACUGGUCUGAGAGGAUGAUCAGUCACACUGGAACUGAGACACGGUCCAGAAUCCUACGGGAGGGAGCAGUAGGGAAUAUUGCUAAAUGGGGGAAAACCUGAAGCAGCAACGCCGCGUGGAGGAUGACACUUGUCGGAGCGUAAACUCCUUUUCUUGGGAAAGAACUAUGACGGUACCCAAGGAAUAAGCACCGGCUAACUCCGUG
rnacentral:rRNA from 1 species